rnacentral:rRNA from 1 species
UACGUAGGGUGCGAGCGUUAAUCGGAAUUACUGGGCGUAAAGCGUGCGCAGGCGGCUUUGCAAGACAGAUGUGAAAUCCCCGGGCUUAACCUGGGAACUGCAUUUGUGACUGCAUGGCUGGAGUGCGGCAGAGGGGGAUGGAAUUCCGCGUGUAGCAGUGAAAUGCGUAGAGAUGCGGAGGAACACCGAUGGCGAAGGCAGCCCCCUGGGCCAAUACUGACGCUCAGGCACGAAAGCGUGGGGAGCAAACAGG